rnacentral:rRNA from 1 species
AACGAACGCUGGCGGCGUGCUUAACACAUGCAAGUCGAACGGGAUUAGGGGCUUGCUCCUAAUCUAGUGGCGCACGGGUGAGUAACGCGUGGAUAAUCUGCCUGAUGAUCUGGGAUAACAUUUCGAAAGGGGUGCUAAUACCGGAUAAGCCCACGAGGACUUCGGUUUUUGCGGGAAAAGAGGGGGACCUUCGGGCCUCUUGUCAUCAGAUGAGUCCGCGUACCAUUAGCUAGUUGGUGGGGUAAAGGCCUACCAAGGCGACGAUGGUUAGCUGGUCUGAGAGGAUGAUCAGCCACACUGGAACUGAGACACGGUCCAGACUCCUACGGGAGGCAGCAGUGGGGAAUUUUGCGCAAUGGGGGAAACCCUGACGCAGCAACGCCGCGUGAGUGAUGAAGGCCUUCGGGUCGUAAAGCUCUGUCUAGAGGAAAGAAGUGUGGGGCGGCUAAUAACCGUUUCACUUGACGGUACCUCUGAAGGAAGCACCGGCUAACUCCGUGCCAGCAGCCGCGGUAAUACGGAGGGUGCGAGCGUUGUUCGGAAUUAUUGGGCGUAAAGCGCGUGUAGGCGGUUUCUUAAGUCUGAUGUGAAAGCCCCGGGCCUAACCUGGGAAGUGCAUUGGAUACUGGGAGACUUGAGUACGGGAGAGGGUAGUGGAAUUCCUAGUGUAGGAGUGAAAUCCGUAGAUAUUAGGAGGAACACCGGUGGCGAAGGCGGCUGCCUGGACCGAUACUGACGCUGAGACGCGAAAGCGUGGGUAGCAAACAGGAUUAGAUACCCUGGUAGUCCACGCCGUAAACGAUGAGUACUAGGUGUUGCGGGUAUUGACCCCUGCAGUGCCGCAGCUAACGCAUUAAGUACUCCGCCUGGGAAGUACGGUCGCAAGACUA